rnacentral:rRNA from 1 species
CCUACGGUGGGCAGCAGUGAGGAAUAUUGGUCAAUGGCCGGAAGGCUGAACCAGCCAAGCCGCGUGAAGGACGAAGGUUCCAAGCAUUGUAAACUUCUUUUGUCAAGGGACAAAUUCAGGCUCGAGAGCCUGACCGAGGGUACUUGUAGAAAAAGCCUCGGCUAACUCCGUACCAGCAGCCGCGGUAAUACGGAGGAUGCGAGCGUUAUCCGGAUUUACUGGGCGUAAAGCGCUCGUAGGCGGUAUGUCAAGUCAAGGGUGAAAUCCCCGCGCUCAACGUGGGAACUGCCUUUGAAACUGGCAAACUGGAGUGUGUGAGAGGAAAGUGGAAUUCCAGGUGUAGGAGUGAAAUGCGUAGAUAUCUGGAGGAACAUCAGUGGCGAAGGCGACUAUCUGGAACAUAACUGACGCUGAGGAGCGAAAGCGUGGGUAGCAAACAGGAUUAGAUACCCGAGUAGUC